rnacentral:rRNA from 1 species
UAAUACAGAGGGGGCAAGCGUUGUUCGGAAUUACUGGGCGUAAAGGGCGCGUAGGCGGCCUGCUAAGUCGAACGUGAAAUCCCUGGGCUCAACCCAGGAACUGCGUCCGAUACUGGUUGGCUUGAAUCCGGGAGAGGGAUGUGGAAUUCCAGGUGUAGCGGUGAAAUGCGUAGAUAUCUGGAGGAACACCGGUGGCGAAGGCGACAUCCUGGACCGGUAUUGACGCUGAGGCGCGAAAGCCAGGGGAGCAAACGGGAUUAGAUACCCCGGUAGUCCUGGCCCUAAACGAUGAAUGCUUGGUGUGGCGGGUAUCGAUCCCUGCCGUGCCGAAGCUAACGCAUUAAGCAUUCCGCCUGGGGAGUACGGUCGCAAGGCUG